UCGAACGGCAGCACGGGCUUCGGCCUGGUGGCGAGUGGCGAACGGGUGAGUAAUAUAUCGGAACGUACCCAGAAGUGGGGGAUAACGUAGCGAAAGUUACGCUAAUACCGCAUACGAUCUACGGAUGAAAGUGGGGGAUCGCAAGACCUCAUGCUUUUGGAGCGGCCGAUAUCUGAUUAGCUAGUUGGUGAGGUAAAGGCUCACCAAGGCGACGAUCAGUAGCUGGUCUGAGAGGACGACCAGCCACACUGGAACUGAGACACGGUCCAGACUCCUACGGGAGGCAGCAGUGGGGAAUUUUGGACAAUGGGCGCAAGCCUGAUCCAGCAAUGCCGCGUGAGUGAAGAAGGCCUUCGGGUUGUAAAGCUCUUUUGUCAGGGAAGAAACGGUAGAGGCUAAUAUCCUUUGCUAAUGACGGUACCUGAAGAAUAAGCACCGGCUAACUACGUGCCAGCAGCCGCGGUAAUACGUAGGGUGCAAGCGUUAAUCGGAAUUACUGGGCGUAAAGCGUGCGCAGGCGGUUUUGUAAGUCUGACGUGAAAGCCCCGGGCUCAACCUGGGAAUUGCGUUGGAGACUGCAAGGCUUGAAUCUGGCAGAGGGGGGUAGAAUUCCACGUGUAGCAGUGAAAUGCGUAGAGAUGUGGAGGAACACCGAUGGCGAAGGCAGCCCCCUGGGUCAAGAUUGACGCUCAUGCACGAAAGCGUGGGGAGCAAACAGGAUUAGAUACCCUGGUAGUCCACGCCCUAAACGAUGUCUACUAGUUGUCGGGUUUUAAUUAACUUGGUAACGCAGCUAACGCGUGA
rnacentral:rRNA from 1 species